ACCCGCUGAAUUUAAGCAUAUAAGUAGGCAGUGUGUAGUUACCUAAGAAGGGUCCCCUUAGUAAUGGCGAAUGUACUUGGAUGGGCUCAAAGUGGAAGUUGGGGCACUUGGCGCUGAGUUGUAGUUUGAAGAUAUGCAACCAAUGAAUGUGCAAAUACAAAUCAUCAGAGCAUGAGUAUUGAGAAGACUGAGAAUCCUGUUUAUCAUAUGUCGUUCCUUGUCAUGUGUGGUGUGUUAUCCAUGAGUUAUACCCUCUGGGGUUGGCGUGUUAAGUGGCUGCUAGAGUUCAUCUAAAGGUGAAUAUUGAUCCAGGACCAACAAUGAAAACGUACCAUGGGGGAAAGGAGAAACAGGACUUUGAGCAGAGUGAUAAUAAUACUUGAACGUGCUGUACGUGAAAUGAGGCGAUCUCUGUUCGUAAUGGGAAGAUGUCUGAGUGCAAUCACGCCUGCCUGCCGUAGUCUAGGCAAGUGUGGAUGUGGGCACUAAACCAAGAAGAGGGUGUGCAGAGCAUCUUGCCUUGUAGGUCGGAGUCAGUUUGCUGUGUGGUAUUGCUGUGGGGUGGCUGUGUAGUUCCAUUUUCCUCAAAUGUGCAAAUGCAGAGGUCCCAGUCACCCACUUGUGCAAUGGGCAAGCUGGCUGGGAUGUCUGCAUCAGCCACUGACAUUUCGUGUGUGGAAAGCCUGGGUGUGGGCAGCUGUGCUUUUGCCCCAAAAAGAUGGUGCACUAUGCCUGUGAAGAGGUAAGUUCAGGGAGAAACCUGAUGAAGGCCUGCAGCGGUACUGACGCGCAAAUCGUUGGUCGUACAUCGGUAUAGGGGUGAAAGACUAAUCGAAUCAUCUAGUAGCUGGUUCCCUCUGAAGUUUCCCUCAGGAUAGCUAGGGCUGAACAGCUUUAUCAGGUAAAGCAAAUGAUUCAAGGAUAUGGGGGCAUCAUGCCCUUGACCUAUUCUCAAACUCUAAAUAGGUAAAGCCCUUAGAUUGCAUGCGUGAGCUCUUGGGAUCAGUGGAACCUCUAAGUGGGCCAUUCUUGGUAAGCAGAACUGGCAAUGAGGGAUGAACCUAAUGUCGGACUAAGAUGCCAGAGUGCCCACGCAUUAGAUACCAUAAAAGGGUGUUGGUUCAUACUAACAGCAGGACGGUGGUCAUGAAAGUUGAAAUCCGCUAAGGAGUGUGUAAUAACUCACCUGCCGAAUGGACUAGCCCUGAAAAUGGAUAGCGCUCCAGCGGGUGAUUGAUGUUGGACCACUGCUGCUGCUUUGUUGUAUCUAUGAGUAGGAGGGUGUGGGGCUUUGUGUGGAAGCCUGAGGCGCAAGCCUAGGUGAAACAAGUCUGAGAGCAGAUCUUGGUGGUAGUAGC
rnacentral:rRNA from 1 species